rnacentral:rRNA from 1 species
AACGAACGCUGGCGGCAUGCCUAACACAUGCAAGUCGAACGAGACCUUCGUGUCUAGUGGCGCACGGGGGCGUAACGCGUGGGAACCUGCCCUUAGGUUCGGAAUAACUCCCCGAAAGGGGUGCUAAUACCGGAUAAUUUCUUCGAACCAAAGAUUUAUCGCCUUUGGAUGGGCCCGCGUUGGAUUAGCUUGUUGGUAGGGUAAAAGCCUACCACGGCGACGAUCCAUAGCUGGUCUGAGAGGAUGAUCAGCCACACUGGGACUGAGACACGGCCCAGACUCCUACGGGAAGCAGCAGUGGGGAAUAUUGGACAAUGGGCGAAAGCCUGAUCCAGCAAUGCCGCGUGAGUGAUGAAGGCCUUAGGGUUGUAAAGCUCUUUUACCCGGGAUGAUAAUGACAGUACCGGGAGAAUAAGCACCGGCUAACUCCGUG